UUGCGCUUGCCCUCUCGCAACAAUCCCUCAAAAACCCUAAAACCUUGUCAUGCAUUACUACCCACCCAGAAAUGAGCUCAAGUCGCAAUAAUUAUACCCCAAUGCAUUAAAAAUCCCUGAACUUUUAAAUGCUAGAAGUGUGAAUUUUAGCGAAACAAUGACCACCAUUGACACUCUGUUGUCCACUAGGGUUUAUCUUCACAAACCGUACCAAAAAUCCUUGAAAUGCGCUCGAAAAUUUCGACCAAAGACGCCAUUUCCUCACCGAUCGUUCACAGUUUUGUGCGGCUUGAACUCAAGUUCCGCUUCACAGUCCAAUGAAACUAAAAGAGAUGAUUUUGUCACUAGAAUUUUGAAGCAAAAUCCUAGCCAAAUUGAGCCCAGGUACCUAAUUGGCGAUAAGUUUUACACUUUGAAGGAGAAAGAGAAUUUGAGCAAGAAUCAGAACAUGGGUUUUAUUGAAUUUUUAGCGAAGAGAUUGAAUUUCAGUGCACAACCGAAGAAAGAAAGAAAUAAUAGAGAAAAUGAGGAGGAUGCUGUGUAUUUGAAAGAUAUUCUGAGGGAAUAUAAGGGCAAGCUAUAUGUUCCUGAGCAGAUUUUUGAGGCAGAAUUAUCUGAAGAAGAGGAGUUUGAUAGGAAUUUGGAGGAGUUGCCCCAAAUGAGCUUUGAGGAUUUUAGGAAAGCAAUCAAUACUGAUAAGGUUAAGUUGUUGACGUCGAAGGAAGUUACAGGCAGUACUUAUGGAAAUCGUUAUAGAGCCUUUGUUGUGGAUUUGAAGGAAAUUCCGGGGGAGAAGAGCUUACACAGGACAAAAUGGUGCAUUUUAGGCACUAAUAGCUCAUCUUUUAAAAUGUUGUUUGCUGGAUGUUUUAUGAUGUACUUAAAUGCUGCUGAAAAUGUGUUCUGUAGGGCAAUGAGACUAGAUGAGAAUGAAGCUCAAGCACUUUUGGAGGAGUACAAGGGUCCACAAUUUGAAAUAGAAAGGCACAUGAAGUCUUCAGUGGGAAAGUUGCCAGAGUACCCUCAUCCAGUUGCAUCUUCCAUAUCUAGCAGAAUGAUCGUAGAGCUUGGAAUGGUGACAGCUGUGAUGGCUGCUGCUGCUGUUGUAGUUGGAGGAUUCCUAGCUUCUGCAGUGUUUGCUGUUACCAGUUUCAUCUUUGUGACAACUGUAUAUGUUGUAUGGCCUAUGGCCAAGCCAUUUCUUAAGCUAUUUCUUGGUAUCAUCUCUGGCAUUUUAGAGAGAAUUUCGGAUUAUCUUGUUGAUAUUUUGAUUGAUGGAGGAGUCUUCUCUAAAUUGAGUGAAUUUUACACUUUCGGUGGUGUAUCUGCCAGCAUUGAGAUGCUAAAGCCUAUCAUGCUUGUGCUUUUGACCAUGGUUCUUCUAGUUCGUUUCACACUUUCAAGAAGACCUAAGAACUUCAGGAAGUGGGAUUUAUGGCAAGGAAUUGAUUUUUCACGUUCUAAAGCAGAAGCUCGCGUUGAUGGUUCAACUGGAGUUAAAUUUAGUGAUGUUGCAGGGAUUGAUGAAGCAGUGGAGGAACUUCAGGAGUUGGUAAGGUACUUGAAGAAUCCAGAACUGUUUGAUAAAAUGGGGAUAAAGCCUCCACAUGGAGUACUUUUGGAGGGUCCUCCUGGAUGUGGCAAGACCCUGGUUGCCAAGGCCAUAGCUGGUGAAGCUGGAGUUCCGUUUUACCAAAUGGCUGGGUCUGAAUUUGUUGAAGUGUUGGUUGGUGUUGGUUCUGCUCGUAUCAGGGAUCUAUUCAAGAGAGCCAAGGUCAAUAGACCAUCAGUCAUUUUCAUUGAUGAAAUUGAUGCAUUGGCAACUAGGCGACAAGGGAUUUUCAAGGAAUCCACUGAUCACCUCUAUAAUGCUGCAACUCAGGAAAGAGAAACUACGUUGAACCAGCUCUUGAUAGAGCUUGAUGGAUUUGACACUGGCAAAGGCGUUAUAUUUUUAGCUGCUACGAAUCGUAGAGAUUUAUUAGAUCCUGCUCUUCUUCGACCAGGUCGUUUUGAUCGCAAGAUAAGGAUUCGUCCUCCUAAUGCUAAGGGGAGGUUGGAAAUUCUGAAAAUUCAUGCAAGCAAAGUGAAAAUGUCAGAGUCUGUUGAUUUAUCUACUUAUGCAAACAACUUACCUGGAUGGACUGGAGCAAAGUUGGCUCAGCUGGUCCAGGAGGCUGCUCUUGUGGCAGUCAGGCAAGGACAUGCAUCAAUUAUUCAGUCAGACAUGGAUGAUGCAGUUGACCGACUUACUGUGGGACCAAAGCGUGUUGGAAUAGAGUUGGGUCAUCAGGGACAAUGUCGAAGAGCUACUACUGAAGUUGGAGUUGCCAUGAUUUCUCAUUUGCUUAGGCGAUAUGAAAAUGCCAAAGUUGAAUGCUGUGAUCGCAUUUCAAUUGUCCCCCGCGGUCAGACAUUAUCACAAGUUGUGUUUCAUCGGCUUGAUGAUGAAUCAUACAUGUUUGAGCGUCUUCCACAGCUGCUGCAUCGCCUUCAGGUUUUUCUUGGAGGGAGAGCAGCUGAAGAGGUCAUUUAUGGGCAGGAUACAUCGAAGGCAUCAGUUGCCUAUCUUGCAGAUGCAUCUUGGCUUGCUCGUAAAAUCAUAACCAUAUGGAACUUGGAGAAUCCAAUGGUCAUACAUGGAGAACCACCUCCUUGGAGAAAGAAAGUUAGAUUUGUGGGCCCACGACUGGACUUUGAAGGAUCACUUUAUGAUGAUUAUAACCUAAUUGAACCCCCUGUCAACUUCAAUUUGGAUGACCAAGUUGCGCAGAGAACUGAGGAGUUGAUACGUGAUAUGUAUGGAAAAACUGUUUCUUUGCUAAGAUGGCACCAUACCGCUUUGGUCAAAGCUGUGAAGGUUCUUCUUAAUCAGAAGGAAAUCAGUGGAGAAGAAAUUGAUUAUAUUUUAAACAAGUAUCCUCCGCAAACGCGCUUAAGUCUUCUUUUAGAGGAAAAAAAUCCGGGAAGCCUUCCUUUCACCAAAGAAGAACUAGGGGGCGAAUUAGAUCAUGCCCUGCUAACUUCAUCAGAAGGAAAAACCCUAUGAACAAGAUACAACAGCUUUCUGUCAUGCAUGCGAACAUAAGCUGCUGCACUGGAACCUUAUUGCUGCUGUUUGAGAGUAUAAAUGGGAUGCACAUGGAAUUUUAAUUGUCUAUUAAAACUGCUGAUUGCAAGUUAUUUCAUAAUUUAUAUAUUUACAUCUUUGCUCAUUUUGAUGGAAUAAUUUAUGUCUUCAAGAUAAACUUGUAUUUCGAUUGAAAAUCAAACUUGAAACGUCACAUCUAUAUAUAAUUUCAAUAUCACUGAGUUAAAA
rnacentral:misc_RNA from 1 species